rnacentral:rRNA from 1 species
AAUCAACGCUGGCGGCGUGCCUCAGACAUGCAAGUCGAACGCGAAAUUUCCCUUCGGGGAGAAAGUAGAGUGGCGCACGGGUGAGUAACACGUAGGUAAUUUGCCUUUGGGUGGGGAAUAACUCAGGGAAACUUGAGCUAAUACCGCAUAAUGCAGCGGCUCGACAUCGAGACAGUUGUUAAAGCGGGGGAUUGGAGCAAUCCGACCUCGCGCCUAAAGAGAAGCCUGCGGCAGAUUAGCUAGUUGGUAAGGUAAUGGCUUACCAAGGCGACGAUCUGUAACCGGCCUGAGAGGGCGGUCGGUCACACUGACACUGACAUACGGGUCGAGAC